rnacentral:rRNA from 1 species
AGCGAACGCUGGCGGCAGGCCUAACACAUGCAAGUCGAACGGAUCCUUCGGGAUUAGUGGCGGACGGGUGAGUAACACGUGGGAACGUGCCCUUUGGUUCGGAACAACUCAGGGAAACUUGAGCUAAUACCGGAUGUGCCCUUCGGGGGAAAGAUUUAUCGCCAUUGGAGCGGCCCGCGUCUGAUUAGCUAGUUGGUGAGGUAACGGCCCACCAAGGCGACGAUCAGUAGCUGGUCUGAGAGGAUGAUCAGCCACACUGGGACUGAGACACGACCCAGACUCCUACGGGAGGCAGCAGUGGGGAAUCUUGCGCAAUGGGCGAAAGCCUGACGCAGCCAUGCCGCGUGAAUGAUGAAGGUCUUAGGAUUGUAAAAUUCUUUCAGCGGGGACGAUAAUGACGGUACCCGCAGAAGAAGCGCCGGCUAACUUCGUG